GCCCAGGUGUGACAGGUGUGCCCGUAGCAGGGUUGUAGCUGUGCCCAGGUGUGACAGGUGUGCCCAUAGCUGUGUCCAGGUGUGCCCAUAGCGGGGUGUAGGGGUUCCCAGGUGUGCCCAGGUGCGGCCAGGGCCCUGCAGUGUCCCUUUGGCAGGUGAAGGAGUACGAGGAGGAGAUCCACUCGCUGAAGGAGCGGCUGCACAGGGACAGGGGGGUGACAGGUGUGACAGGUGUGCCCAUAGCUGUGCCCAGGUGUGACAGAGGUGACAGGUGUGCCCGUAGCAGGGUUAUAGCUGUACCCAGGUGUGACAGGUGUGACAGGUGUGCCCAUAGCUGUGCCCAGGUGUGACAGGUGUGCCCAUAGCGGGGUUGUAGCUGUACCCAGGUGUGCCCAGGUGUGACAGGUGUGCCCAUAGCUGUGCCCAGGUGUGACAGGGGUGACAGGUGUGCCCAUAGCUGUGCCCAGGUGUGACAGGUGUGCCCAUAGCGGGGUUGUAGCUGUACCCAGGUGUGCCCAGGUGUGCCCAGGUGCGGCCAGGGCCCUGCAGUGUCCCUUUGGCAGGUGAAGGAGUACGAGGAGGAGAUCCACUCGCUGAAGGAGCGGCUGCACAGGGACAGGGGGGUGUGACAGGUGUGACAGGUGUGCCCAUAGCUGUGCCCAGGUGUGCCCAUAGCGGGGUGUAGGGGUUCCCAGGUGUGCCCAGGUGCGGCCAGGGCCCUGCAGUGUCCCU